rnacentral:lncRNA from 1 species
CGUAGCCUGGCCAGCUUAGUGGUGAUGGCUGUGACCUGUGCAUAAAAGGUGUGAAUGUCAGCGGCAGACCGACUGUGGCGGGGCUGUCUGUCUGGUCGUCUCCCUUCCCCUGAUCUCUCUCGACUCCCGAGUUUUUAUUCUUGCAAGGGAAUCCUCCCCCAAGGGGUUGGGCCUCCUCCCUCCCUGACUGAUCUGAGAACACGCUGGCCUGGGCUGUGAGCUCUGGCUGGGUCUGCCCAGCCCGCAGCACCGACCUCCGCAGUUCCUUCC